UACGGGGGGGGCAAGCGUUGUUCGGAAUUACUGGGCGUAAAGGGCUCGUAGGCGGCCAACUAAGUCCGACGUGAAAUCCCCAGGCUUAACCUGGGAACUGCGUCGGAUACUGGAUGGCUUGAGUUCGGGAGAGGGAUGCGGAAUUCCAGGUGUAGCGGUGAAAUGCGUAGAUAUCUGGAGGAACACCGGUGGCGAAGGCGGCAUCCUGGACCGACACUGACGCUGAGGAGCGAAAGCCAGGGGAGCAAACGGG
rnacentral:rRNA from 1 species